UGCAUCAAUUCUACAAACUAAAAAUGAUAAGAAAUCUAAAAAGAUUCUUAGCGAUAUUAGAAGAUUAUUGAGACUAUUGACGGUCCGUUCUUUGACUCUAUUAGACAUUAGACUGAUCAACUCAUCAGCUGUAGUCCAGCCCUCAGACAAAGCUGUACUUACUGGGAAAAAAAAAUAUUUCAGGGUUGAGGUAAUUUAUACCUUUUUACAAUAGAAAUGUUCUUAUAUUUAUGGCUCACAUGCACAAGCAUAAAUAACCUUCCUGGUUUUAGUGUUUACGAUGAAGAGAAUGUGUAGGUACAAAAUAACAUUAGAUAAGUGAAAAUAAAUGUGAGAUGCCUCUUACAUUUAAUUUCUACAAUCCGGCUUCAAUUCCCUUCACAUGCUGCGUCGGCAUUUUCCCUGUCUCCAAAGUGUUUGUAUGCAUGGGUCAGAGAUCCCGUAAAGGUGCGCACAUUCUCCAAUCAAGUUUAUUUCAAUUCUCUCUCUCUGACCCACUGUUGAAUACCAUGGUCAGAAAUUGACUGUCAGGAAGUCACCUGCUUUGUAUAUCUGUCUGCAGGUUAAUCAACAACCAGUUUACUGUGGCUGGGAUGAAACGGCUCGCUACAGCUCUAACCCACAACACAGCCCUCAAAGAGAUAUGUGUGAAAGGAAACCAGCUCUCUGAGGAGGAAGAGAGACUGUUUGUGGAAGAGAAGAGGCUGUUGUUCCACUAACUGGGAGACAAGCAUCUGCAAAAUUAUGCCCACCUUAAAAAGAAGAAAUGUGUUCACCGUGUGCAUGCACAGUGUCAGCCAACUGAUACAGUAUGAAAGUACUGCAUACACAUAUCGUUUAUUGCUGAUGAAACCAUUUUUACUCUAAGCAAAACAAUCCGUUUUAUGUUAAUGGAGAAGAUGUUUACUGUGAAAUUUGAACCAAAUAUGUGACAGAAAUACACAUGAACAAGUGUGGAAACAAACCAAUGGCUGUCUUCUAUAUAUAUAUAUAUAUUAGGGCUGUGAAACGAUUAAACUGACUUUUUUUCGUCCCGAUGUGCGCGCACAUGCCGGCAUCCGAGCUCUGCGGCGCGCGAGACGGAGAUCGGAGUCGUGUUAACGCGACACUAGAGACAGAAUGACAUGCUGCUGGUUCGAGACGACCAACAACAGACGGAUUGGAAGCUCAUUCUGCGCAUGCGUUAAAUGCGUUAAAAAAACAAAACUAAUUAAUCCUGUAAUUUAAUUAACUGAGUUAACGCGUUAUUUUUCACAGCACUAAUAUAUAUAUAUAUAUAUAUACACAUAUACGCACACACACACACACACACACAUACAUACAUAUGUUAUAUAUAUGCUCUCUUACAAUGAACAGAAUGCCUAUUACAAAGAAAAUAUAUUGAUACUAUUACAAAGAAAAUAUAUUGAUACUUAUCACCUGCUAUGUGAAAAUCAUCAGUAGUCAUAAACUAAUAGACAUAGACAGAUUGGUCAAGAAUACUUUAACAUGUCAGCUCUCUACAUUCAGUGUUUAGUAUUUUAAUUUUGUGAGUGAAACAACUGUAUUAAAUGCCAUAUUUGUAAUCCCAGUGGGCUUAAUAAAAGUGCUCUGCCUUUCUUACCUCCUGUUUGACACUGGAAGGCCAGAUGUUAUGUCAUGUGAAGAGGGUGUAGCUUUUAUUAUAUGUAAUGAUUAAAGAUGGCUUCAUAUUUUU